AUGAACGCUGGCGGCGUGCCUAAUACAUGCAAGUCGAGCGAACAGACGGGGAGCUUGCUCCUCUGACGUUAGCGGCGGACGGGUGAGUAACACGUGGAUACCUACCUAUAAGACUGGGAUAACUUCGGGAAGCCGGAGCUAAUACCGGAUAAUAUAUUUAACCGCAUGGUUCAAUAGUGAAAGACGGUUUUGCUGUCACUUAUAGAUGGAUCCGCGCCGCAUUAGCUAGUUGGUAAGGUAACGGCUUACCAAGGCGACGAUGCGUAGCCGACCUGAGAGGGUGAUCGGCCACACUGGAACUGAGACACGGUCCAGACUCCUACGGGAGGCAGCAGUAGGGAAUCUUCCGCAAUGGGCGAAAGCCUGACGGAGCAACGCCGCGUGAGUGAUGAAGGUCUUCGGAUCGUAAAACUCUGUUAUUAGGGAAGAACAAAUGUGUAAGUAACUAUGCACGUCUUGACGGUACCUAAUCAGAAAGCCACGGCUAACUACGUG
rnacentral:rRNA from 1 species